rnacentral:rRNA from 1 species
UACGUAGGGGGCAAGCGUUGUCCGGAUUUAUUGGGCGUAAAGAGCGUGUAGGCGGCCAGGUAGGUCAGCUGUGAAAACUCGAGGCUCAACCUCGAGAUGUCGGCUGAAACCAUCUGGCUAGAGUCCGGAAGAGGAGAAUGGAAUUCCCGGUGUAGCGGUGAAAUGCGCAGAUAUCUGGAGGAACACCGGUGGCGAAGGCGGCAUUCUGGACCGACAUUGACGCUGAGGAGCGAAAGCCAGGGGAGCAAACGGG